rnacentral:rRNA from 1 species
UGGGGAAUAUUGGACAAUGGGCGCAAGCCUGAUCCAGCCAUGCCGCGUGAGUGAAGAAGGCCUUCGGGUUGUAAAGCUCUUUUACCAGGGACGAUAAUGACGGUACCUGGAGAAUAAGCCCCGGCAAACUUCGUGCCAGCAGCCGCGGUAAUACGAAGGGGGCUAGCGUUGUUCGGAAUUACUGGGCGUAAAGCGCACGUAGGCGGAUUGUUAAGUCAGAGGUGAAAUCCCGGAGCUCAACUUCGGAACUGCCUUUGAUACUGGCAAUCUAGAGUCCGGAAGAGGUUAGUGGAAUUCCCAGUGUAGAGGUGAAAUUCGUAGAUAUUGGGAAGAACACCAGUGGCGAAGGCGGCUAACUGGUCCGGUACUGACGCUGAGGUGCGAAAGCGUGGGGAGCAAACAGGAUUAGAUACCCGGAGCGGGCUGGCAAGGCGCAU